UUACAUUUUGAUGUCCGUAAGCGCAUUAAAAACAAUCCUUAUGGUGCUAUUUUUCAAAACAAUGAUGACUCUGUCUUUUCAAAGCUGUAAUUUGUAGUUUAAUUUCUGUUACUUGCUAACUGUUGAGAACAUCUCAUUAGGAUUCCUGCCAUAAAAGUCCAAGCAGGUUUUAAGCCAUAAAUGCUUAGUAAAAUGUGCAGAUGCUUACAGCAUUGCUUACAAAACCACAUGUAAACCAUGCAUAUGUCAAUUUUUUGAGAAUAUUCAGCCAGAGUAUUUAACAGCCCAUGAAGCUGAAUUUCUUGUACCACAGAUUCUUGAAAUGAAGCAUACUGUGGGCCUCUGCAAAUCUGUUCCUGUAGUGUUCAGAAACCCAUCUUCUUAAAUUCAUCCUUUAGACAAAUGCCACUUUCUGUGACAUAUAUAUAUUUAAAUCAAAUACUUCCAUAAGCUGUCUGCAGAGUUCUUAUGAAGCUUCUGUUCAGGAAGUUGUGUUUUUUUUUUGUUUGUUUGUUUGUUUGUUUUUUAUUGAAAUCUUCGUGAGAGUAUCAAAUCAGGAUCCAGUAAAUAUGUAUAAGCAACUAGCCUACAGUGUGUACCAGUCAGUAUUAGACUGCAACUCUGUUAGCAAUAGCAAACCAGAGGAAGAUGCUUAAGAUAUGAGAAAAGCUCUUUCCAGAGAUAUGGAGAAGAAAUCAAUUAUAUCUCCACCUCAUCUUUUGAGACCAGAAGACACUGAGUACCUCCCACGGGUGCAGGAAGCAACUGUUCCCCAUGGGAUAGAUGUCUGGCCCUCCAGGAGAAGGGGGAAAUGUACAGGGACAGAGCCCUGCUACAGCCUCCUUCCUGGGAGUUCUGUGCAUGAUAUGGUAAGAUUUUGGUUCUUUUGCUUGUAUUUUUGUGUUUGCAGUCUCUGGCCCUUGGUAAAUGGCUGUCACCUGCACCUAUCAGUGCAGGUUCUGUAUUAGGGUGUGUGGAGGGGGCAGGUGCUGGGGGGUGGUUGCUCCAUGUUCCUGAAGGGUGGCAGCUGUGGGCUGGGGCUGGAGGGGCCCCAGGUGAGGCUAUGAGGGUGCUGAUGGGGACACCCCCUCUGGAUAUGGGUGCGAUCCAGCUGCGGUGGGUGCAGGCUGUGGGGCCAGCAGAGGAGGAGGGGGCAACAGCAGUGGCAGUCAGCUGUCCUCACUGCAUGCGGUGGCCGUGCUGGGGCUCGUCUGUGAUGAGGGGGCGGCUGCCAAGCGUGGCCAGGGCGGCAGCUGCUACAGGGGAAGGGGUGGCUGGGGCUGGAGGUCUGCGACCCCGGGAAGGACAGGCUCGGGGGGCCUCUGCUGGGGCACAGAAAGCCGCGGGUUAGGGGGGAGCCGUGAAACGGGGGCGGGCACCGGGCUGGCCCCAGAGCAGGGGGAGCGUGCGCGGGAGGAGGCUGCUGGGUGCCGCAGGGCCAGGCCCGCCCCGCCGCGUGCUGGGAGCGGCCGCCCCCAGGCUCUGGGCUCCCGGCCGGCCGCGGGGGUUCCCGGGGCAUGCCGGGAAAUGUCGUUUUCCACUGCUGCUCCCCUUCCAGGCCCGGAGCGUCCCGUGGCCAAGAGCAUUUAUUUCCUCGGCAGUGGCGGUGCGUGCGUUUCUCUGCCGGUUUCGUGUGAUUUUCUGCGCAGUUCUCUCCGCUUCUUUUAAUGAGAAAACAGGCUGUGAGCCCGAGAAAUCAGGACUGGCGCUGCAGCCGGCUGGCCCCGCAAGGUGCAGUAGCGCCGCGCCGUGCUGCCGCCUGCUGGCCACAAGGCGGAAGUGCAGGCAAGAGGCGGCAGCGUGGCGCCUGCUCGCGCUCUGCUGCCACCUGCUGGCCGAAAUGGGGUACUGCAGGCAGCACGGAGAACGGCGCUGUUCGGGCACGCGCAGUAGCGCCCCGUCCUCGCGAGUAUGCGCGGCAGCACCCCGUGGUCAGCGUGUGCGGUAGCGCCGCCUACCGGACGCGUGCGGUAGUGCCCACACGAGUAGGCACGGCCGUGUACCCCGACGCACGCGCACUACCGCCCGUCCGCGGGCGUGCAAGGUGCCCCCGCGUGUGCACGGCCCCGCCGCUGGGUGUGGGCGUGGGGGGGCGGGCCGCGGUGCCGCAGGUACCGACCGGGUGCGGUAGCACCGCUGUCAGGGCCGUGCGCAGCAGUGCUCCUCGCUCGCUGCAGCGUGGUUGUACCGUGGGUGCUGUUCUCUUUAGCUGUGGUGGUGGUGGGACAGGCGGCUGAGGCGCAGUGACACAGAGUUGGUGGAUUUGGGCACCUCGAGACGUUGUGCGGGGCCAGGCACCGGGCAGGCGGGGGUGCCGCAUGAUCCAUGGCUCCUGGGGAAAGGACCGUUGUGCCAGCUCAGGGCAGUGGCAGGGGCUGUGUCGUGCUGGGCUACAGUGCAGUGCAGUGGGGUCUACA